UUGGUGUGUUCAGAGCUGCUGUUCUUUAGACCAUGGACCUGUGGUUUAUAUCACACCAUAGACAAUGAAGGGGUCUAGCAGAAUGAAGACAGAAAGAUAUAUGUCCUUCAUCAUAUGACUCCUGACAUGA